GGCUCAGAUUGAACGCUGGCGGCAGGCCUAACACAUGCAAGUCGAGCGGAAACGAGUUAACUGAACCUUCGGGGGACGUUAACGGCGUCGAGCGGCGGACGGGUGAGUAAUGCCUAGGAAAUUGCCCUGAUGUGGGGGAUAACCAUUGGAAACGAUGGCUAAUACCGCAUGAUGCCUACGGGCCAAAGAGGGGGACCUUCGGGCCUCUCGCGUCAGGAUAUGCCUAGGUGGGAUUAGCUAGUUGGUGAGGUAAGGGCUCACCAAGGCGACGAUCCCUAGCUGGUCUGAGAGGAUGAUCAGCCACACUGGAACUGAGACACGGUCCAGACUCCUACGGGAGGCAGCAGUGGGGAAUAUUGCACAAUGGGCGCAAGCCUGAUGCAGCCAUGCCGCGUGUGUGAAGAAGGCCUUCGGGUUGUAAAGCACUUUCAGUCGUGAGGAAGGUAGUGUAGUUAAUAGCUGCAUUAUUUGACGUUAGCGACAGAAGAAGCACCGGCUAACUCCGUGCCAGCAGCCGCGGUAAUACGGAGGGUGCGAGCGUUAAUCGGAAUUACUGGGCGUAAAGCGCAUGCAGGUGGUUUGUUAAGUCAGAUGUGAAAGCCCGGGGCUCAACCUCGGAAUAGCAUUUGAAACUGGCAGACUAGAGUAAUGUAGAGGGGGGUAGAAUUUCAGGUGUAGCGGUGAAAUGCGUAGAGAUCUGAAGGAAUACCGGUGGCGAAGGCGGCCCCCUGGACAGAUACUGACACUCAGAUGCGAAAGCGUGGGGAGCAAACAGGAUUAGAUACCCUGGUAGUCCACGCCGUAAACGAUGUCUACUUGGAGGUUGUGGCCUUGAGCCGUGGCUUUCGGAGCUAACGCGUUAAGUAGACCGCCUGGGGAGUACGGUCGCAACAUUAAAACUCAAAUGAAUUGACGGGGGNCCGCACAAGCGGUGGAGCAUGUGGUUUAAUUCGAUGCAACGCGAAGAACCUUACCUACUCUUGACAUCCAGAGAACUUUCCAGAGAUGGAUUGGUGCCUUCGGGAACUCUGAGACAGGUGCUGCAUGGCUGUCGUCAGCUCGUGUUGUGAAAUGUUGGGUUAAGUCCCGCAACGAGCGCAACCCUUAUCCUUGUUUGCCAGCGAGUAAUGUCGGGAACUCCAGGGAGACUGCCGGUGAUAAACGGGAGGAAGGUGGGGACGACGUCAAGUCAUCAUGGCCCUUACGAGUAGGGCUACACACGUGCUACAAUGGCGCAUACAGAGGGCGGCCAACUUGCGAAAGUGAGCGAAUCCCAAAAAGUGCGUCGUAGUCCGGAUUGGAGUCUGCAACUCGACUCCAUGAAGUCGGAAUCGCUAGUAAUCGUGGAUCAGAAUGCCACGGUGAAUACGUUCCCGGGCCUUGUACACACCGCCCGUCACACCAUGGGAGUGGGCUGCAAAAGAAGUAGGUAGUUUAA
rnacentral:rRNA from 1 species